rnacentral:rRNA from 1 species
UUAAGUUAUUAAGGGCGCACGGUGGAUGCCUUGGCACUAGAAGCCGAUGAAGGACGUUACUAACGACGAUAUGCUUUGGGGAGCUGUAAGUAAGCUUUGAUCCAGAGAUUUCCGAAUGGGGAAACCCAGCAUGAGUUAUGUCAUGUUAUCGAUAUGUGAAUACAUAGCAUAUCAGAAGGCACACCCGGAGAACUGAAACAUCUUAGUACCCGGAGGAAGAGAAAGAAAAUUCGAUUCCCUUAGUAGCGGCGAGCGAAACGGGAAGAGCCCAAACCAACAAGCUUGCUUGUUGGGGUUGUAGGACACUCUAUACGGAGUUACAAAGGACGACAUUAGACGAAUCAUCUGGAAAGAUGAAUCAAAGAAGGUAAUAAUCCUGUAGUCGAAAAUGUUGUCUCUCUUGAGUGGAUCCUGAGUACGACGGAGCACGUGAAAUUCCGUCGGAAUCUGGGAGGACCAUCUCCUAAGGCUAAAUACUCUCUAGUGACCGAUAGUGAACCAGUACCGUGAGGGAAAGGUGAAAAGCACCCCGGAAGGGGAGUGAAAUAGAACCUGAAACCGUGUGCUUACAAGUAGUCAGAGCCCGUUAAUGGGUGAUGGCGUGCCUUUUGUAGAAUGAACCGGCGAGUUACGAUUUGAUGCAAGGUUAAGCAGUAAAUGUGGAGCCGUAGCGAAAGCGAGUCUGAAUAGGGCGUUUAGUAUUUGGUCGUAGACCCGAAACCAGGUGAUCUACCCUUGGUCAGGUUGAAGUUCAGGUAACACUGAAUGGAGGACCGAACCGACUUACGUUGAAAAGUGAGCGGAUGAACUGAGGGUAGCGGAGAAAUUCCAAUCGAACCUGGAGAUAGCUGGUUCUCUCCGAAAUAGCUUUAGGGCUAGCCUCAAGUGAUGAUUAUUGGAGGUAGAGCACUGUUUGGACGAGGGGCCCCUCUCGGGUUACCGAAUUCAGACAAACUCCGAAUGCCAAUUAAUUUAACUUGGGAGUCAGAACAUGGGGUGAUAAGGUCCGUGUUCGAAAGGGAAACAGCCCAGACCACCAGCUAAGGUCCCAAAAUAUAUGUUAAGUGGAAAAGGAUGUGGCGUUGCCCAGACAACUAGGAUGUUGGCUUAGAAGCAGCCAUCAUUUAAAGAGUGCGUAAUAGCUCACUAGUCGAGUGACACUGCGCCGAAAAUGUACCGGGGCUAAACAUAUUACCGAAGCUGUGGAUUGUCCUUUGGACAAUGGUAGGAGAGCGUUCUAAGGGCGUUGAAGCAUGAUCGUAAGGACAUGUGGAGCGCUUAGAAGUGAGAAUGCCGGUGUGAGUAGCGAAAGACGGGUGAGAAUCCCGUCCACCGAUUGACUAAGGUUUCCAGAGGAAGGCUCGUCCGCUCUGGGUUAGUCGGGUCCUAAGCUGAGGCCGACAGGCGUAGGCGAUGGAUAACAGGUUGAUAUUCCUGUACCACCUAUAAUCGUUUUAAUCGAUGGGGGGACGCAGUAGGAUAGGCGAAGCGUGCGAUUGGAUUGCACGUCUAAGCAGUAAGGCUGAGUAUUAGGCAAAUCCGGUACUCGUUAAGGCUGAGCUGUGAUGGGGAGAAGACAUUGUGUCUUCGAGUCGUUGAUUUCACACUGCCGAGAAAAGCCUCUAGAUAGAAAAUAGGUGCCCGUACCGCAAACCGACACAGGUAGUCAAGAUGAGAAUUCUAAGGUGAGCGAGCGAACUCUCGUUAAGGAACUCGGCAAAAUGACCCCGUAACUUCGGGAGAAGGGGUGCUCUUUAGGGUUAACGCCCAGAAGAGCCGCAGUGAAUAGGCCCAAGCGACUGUUUAUCAAAAACACAGGUCUCUGCUAAACCGUAAGGUGAUGUAUAGGGGCUGACGCCUGCCCGGUGCUGGAAGGUUAAGAGGAGUGGUUAGCUUCUGCGAAGCUACGAAUCGAAGCCCCAGUAAACGGCGGCCGUAACUAUAACGGUCCUAAGGUAGCGAAAUUCCUUGUCGGGUAAGUUCCGACCCGCACGAAAGGCGUAACGAUUUGGGCACUGUCUCAACGAGAGACUCGGUGAAAUCAUAGUACCUGUGAAGAUGCAGGUUACCCGCGACAGGACGGAAAGACCCCGUGGAGCUUUACUGUAGCCUGAUAUUGAAAUUCGGCACAGCUUGUACAGGAUAGGUAGGAGCCUUUGAAACGUGAGCGCUAGCUUACGUGGAGGCGCUGGUGGGAUACUACCCUAGCUGUGUUGGCUUUCUAACCCGCACCACUUAUCGUGGUGGGAGACAGUGUCAGGCGGGCAGUUUGACUGGGGCGGUCGCCUCCUAAAAGGUAACGGAGGCGCUCAAAGGUUCCCUCAGAAUGGUUGGAAAUCAUUCAUAGAGUGUAAAGGCAUAAGGGAGCUUGACUGCGAGACCUACAAGUCGAGCAGGGUCGAAAGACGGACUUAGUGAUCCGGUGGUUCCGCAUGGAAGGGCCAUCGCUCAACGGAUAAAAGCUACCCCGGGGAUAACAGGCUUAUCUCCCCCAAGAGUUCACAUCGACGGGGAGGUUUGGCACCUCGAUGUCGGCUCAUCGCAUCCUGGGGCUGUAGUCGGUCCCAAGGGUUGGGCUGUUCGCCCAUUAAAGCGGUACGCGAGCUGGGUUCAGAACGUCGUGAGACAGUUCGGUCCCUAUCCGUCGUGGGCGUAGGAAAUUUGAGAGGAGCUGUCCUUAGUACGAGAGGACCGGGAUGGACAUACCUCUGGUGUACCAGUUGUCGUGCCAACGGCAUAGCUGGGUAGCUAUGUGUGGACGGGAUAAGUGCUGAAAGCAUCUAAGCAUGAAGCCCCCCUCAAGAUGAGAUUUCCCAACUUCGGUUAUAAGAUCCCUCAAAGAUGAUGAGGUUAAUAGGUUCGAGGUGGAAGCAUGGUGACAUGUGGAGCUGACGAAUACUAAUCGAUCGAAGACUUAAUCAA